CUGCUUGGGAUUCUCUCUCUUCCCGCUCUCUCUCUGCCCCUCGCCCACUUGAGCAGGCAUAUCGUGUUAGGUAAGAGUCCAAUUUUGUUCUUGUGCAUGUGGAUGUCCAGUUUUCCCAGCACCGUUGGGAAAAGACCGUCCUUUCCUCCAUGGAACGGUCUUGGGACCCUUGUUGAAAAUCAUUUGACCAGUUAGGUGAGGAUUUCUUUCUGGGACAUCUAUUUCACUUUCCUGUUCUAGAUUAUUCUAUGGGUCUAGAAGUCUUGUCUCUGUGGCAGGACCACCCCGUUUUGAUGACUGUAGCUUUGUAGGAAGUUUUGAAAUCAGGCAGCGUGAGAUUUCCUACUUUGUUUUUGUCCAGUAUGGUUCCGGCUGUUCACGGUCCCUUGCAAUUACAUGUGAAUUUUGGGGAGGGAUUUUCUAUUUCUGCAAAAACAGAUUGUUGGGAUUUUGAUCGAGAUUGCGUCGAACGUGCAGAUGUUACGAUUGCCUUUCGGAGAGUUCGCCACUUAUCAUGUCGAAGCGAUCUUCUGUUAUGUUCUAACGUGCGUUUCCCUCAUUGCUACUAAGGUUGCUGGACCGUUUGUAUCGUUUGGAUUGCUUGCUGCUUCCUUUGCCCACUCGUUCUCCUGGAGUCUGAGGGUCACAUACGUAAAGCGUCUUAGAGUGUCAACACUCCCCGUGCUUCCGUAACAAUCACCAAAUAUUAGUUGGGCACCGCUUUAGACGAGCUGCUGUGUUGGAUGGAGGUCUGCCUGAAGAGACUCUUUGUCCACCGCUAUGGAUAAGAUGGCCAUCCAGGGCCUGGACUCCUAGUUUAUGGUCUUUAAGGUCUGCCAUUUUCUUGGAUGAAUCCACCGUUUAUCACCCUGGGACGGAGGUUUCCUUGGUUGGUUCUUUCAUCCGUUCAUUUAUUCCACAGAUAUGCACUGAGCACCUGUGAUGUGCAGACGAGUAAGUAAGCUGAUCUCAGACGCGGAUGAGUUUUUGGAAGUGAAUGAGCGAGCGAAAAGGGAGGAAGUCCCCUGGGCUCGGUGUUGGGAGCUGGCAUGGCUGAGCAGCCCACCCUCCCUGGGGGUGGCACUAGGGUAGUGACACAGCCCCUGAAAGUGGGAUGGGAGCUUUGUCUUCAUCCUCAGGGCGGAGGGAAGUCCGAACUGGUUUUCAGCCCAGAAGUGGCCUCAUCAGGCUUGUGGUUGGGAAAGGUCCCUCUGGCUUUGCUGGGGACGUUGAGGCCGGAGCUGCUGAAUGGGCCCCAGAGGUCAUGGAGGUCAUUUCUGCCGUCCACGUGGGACGUGAGGGCCCACGUGAGAAAGGGUAGAGGCAGUGAACCUCCAGUGAUGUGGGUGGAUGGCUCCAAGGUGUUCCAGAAGGCCGAUCCACAAGACCUGGCAGAGGGUGGGUCACGGGAGGGGGACCCAAGAUGCAGAACCGGAGAAUGUGCCAGUUAAUGAGAAACGGAAGUGCAGAGGGCACUGCUGUGAGUUAGUGCCCGGGGACACCUGUGCAAAGGCAGGGACCUCUAAGACAGGACCAUGUCCCUCUCUGGCGGCCUGGCACAGUGCCUGGUACUCAGAAGAAGACCAGUGAGGAAGCAAGCAUCACUCCAGACCUACCAGAUGUGCAAAGAUGAAGAGGUCUGAUGGGGCCGAGUGUCUUCAAGGACGUGGAGAAUCAGGGGCGCGGAGACACUGUGGUGGGGUCGUAAGUCAGGUCAUCCACUUUGGGGAGCAGAUGAAAAUACCAAGUAAAGUUAAAAAUGCCCAUUUCUUUCACCCUGAAAUCCUACUUACAGCAUAAAUCUGGAGAAACGUCUGCUCAGGAGAGUGUGAACACACAGAUGUUCAUUGCAUCAUUGUUUAUGACAGCAAAGAACCUGGACACCCAUCGACAGGUAAAAAGAUACACACGUUCAUGGAUGUGAGAACCAGAGACAACGCAGAGAGAAACGCCAGAGAUCGGGAAGGCUUCCGCAUUCCGGCAGAUUGUCACGAAACGUGGCUCUCACUUCUGAGCACAGACGUGUGUGUUGAGAUGAAAUCUAUAAAUCACGGACAACGUGGUCAGUCUCCAUGGAGACUUGUUCCACCCCCAGCCUCCCCCCCACCCCCGGCAGGGGCACCUCCAUUUUACCCAGUGGUUCAAGUCCGAAACCCAAGUGUCAUCUUGGAUUCUGGUCUUUCUCACACUCCGCAACCAAUCUGUCGAAAACCGCUGUCAUUUCUACUUCCAAAAUAUAUUCCCCUCCCUUCCCUUCUUCGGAAUAUGACACUUCUCUCCAUCUCCGUCCCACUGCCCACAUCCGGCCUCCCUCCUGGGCAGCUGACAGCCUCUGCUCCCUUGCUCUCCCCACCGUCACCCGCUCCCUGCCCUGCAGCCAAGGUUGGAAGUCAUCAUUCCCUGCCUAUACCCGUCAGUGGUUCCCCCUCCACCGAGAAUAUGCUAACUGCCCUCCCUUCACCAAUAAAACUAAAAUAUCUGGACCACUUCUGUUUCAUAUCCAUUUAAAAUGAUAAACCUUCUCCCCUACCCCAGCCCAGCCCUUCCUUGAUCUAUCUUUCCAUGUUAUUUAUCACAUUAUGCACUAUAUGAUGCUAUAUAAUAUUAGACUUGGUAUCUUUCUAUGUAUUAUAUUCUUCAGGUAGUUUAUUGUUGGUCUUCCCUUGCAAUAAAGUAUAAGCUUCAUAGGA